UACGAAGGGUGCAAACGUUGCUCGGAAUCAUUGGGCGUAAAGCGCACGUAGGCGGCUUCGAAAGUCGGAUGUGAAAUCCCAUGGCUCAACCAUGGACGUGCACCCGAAACUGCGAGGCUUGAGUACUGAAGAGGAUCGCGGAAUUCCCGGUGUGAGAGGGUGAAAUUCGUAGAUAUCGGGAGGAACACCAGUGGCGAAGGCGGCGAUCUGGGCAGAUACUGACGCUGAGGUGCGAAAGCGUGGGGAGCAAACAGGG
rnacentral:rRNA from 1 species